rnacentral:lncRNA from 1 species
ACUGGGUUCUGCUUUUGAGUCAGGUUUCAUCCAAUCGAAACAACAUAUUCGGUUUCGACACUACGGUAAUCUGUGCUAAGGAUGCCUAUUUGAAGUUGAUAUGAACUCUCAGAUUCUGCUGGUAAGCUCUAAAAUGCAAAGAACGAUAUAAUAGACCCGCUAACAGAAAUAAAUAUAAUUCUCAUUUCUGGACUAAUAUGUAUUGUCCAUCCUCCCAUGCAAAUUCGUGCAAGAAAUUAGUUAUCGAACACUCAUAGACGGCCGGUUUAAAGAUUGUUCUGAAUGAGGUAUUUUGCUUGUCCAUAAAUGAAAUUGAUGACUUCACCCUCAGUAGCGGUCUCGGGAUAAUGCGUAAUGAGAAUGGAUGCUUUGCACUUUGCUGCGACAAUCCCUUCCUUACCCUAUAUUGAAUCAAAAUUUCCCGUCAGUCAUUGUGGGUUCGAGAUAAAGAAUACGCAAUACGAAAAUAUAGCAUGACGAACCGAUUUAGAGAGCAUAACUGGGAUACCCUGAAGUUCUUCAAUCUUGUUGAAAACAUAUCGUUUGCUUCCAAAAUGAAGACCAUGGGUUUGAGCAUUGGUCGGGUCGUUGAAGGUGUAAGCGAUGGCGUUCAUUUGUUCGGGAGUCAACUGAUGGUUGAAUGAGGGUUAGUGAUAUGGACGAAUAAACAUCAUCUUCUUCAUGAUUCCGCAGCGAUGUACCUCAAUCUUGGCGGACUUUCCCCAUACAGCCUGUCCAGUUUGGUCAACAAUCAUGGCACUGUCGAUCAAGGUACCGGUUGCGAUACUAGAUUAGCUCGUUAGGAAACCGGCAUUGACAUUGAAAGGCGGGGUGAUAGUACUUCGCAUCGAGGUAGCCUAACUCGGAGGGCAUUGUUAGUUAAGGGGCACAUAAUUUGAAAAGAACGUUGUUGUCAACAGAGGAAAUAAGUCUGACACACUUACCGUCCCAAGACAUCUUGACUGAUGUGUGUGUGAUUAUCGGGCGAAUAGACGAAGUUGUUUAGACAAGCAAUCACCGAUUCGGAGAUCAGGUGGAAGGCGGAUAGAAUUCGUCCGAGGGGUUGAAGUAUUACUCGUCAAGGAGACAAACCAAAGACGAAUCUACAACAAGGGAAGCUUCAAAAAAGAAGAAAAGAGAGUACAAGAUUAUUAAAAGAUGAACAUUUGUUUUUACUG